UGAGGGAAUAUUGGGUCAAUGGACGGGGAGUCUGAACCAGCCAAGUAGCGUGCAGGAUGACGGCCCUAUGGGUUGUAAACUGCUUUUAUAGGGGGAUAAAGUGUGCCACGUGUGGCAUAUUGCAGGUACCCUAUGAAUAAGGACCGGCUAAUUCCGUGCCAGCAGCCGCGGUAAUACGGAAGGUCCGGGCGUUAUCCGGAUUUAUUGGGUUUAAAGGGAGCGUAGGCCGGAGAUUAAGCGUGUUGUGAAAUGCCGCGGCUCAACCGUGGCACUGCAGCGCGAACUGGUUUUCUUGAGUGCGCGCGACGCAGGCGGAAUUCGUGGUGUGGCGGUGAAAUGCUUAGAUAUCACGAGGAACCCCGAUUGCGAAGGCAGCUUGCGGGAGCGCAACUGACGCUGAAG
rnacentral:rRNA from 1 species